GGGGGAAUAUUGCACAAUGGGCGAAAGCCUGAUGCAGCGACGCCGCGUGAGGGAUGACGGCCUUCGGGUUGUAAACCUCUUUCAGCAGGGACGAAGCGCAAGUGACGGUACCUGCAGAAGAAGCACCGGCUAACUACGUGCCAGCAGCCGCGGUAAUACGUAGGGUGCAAGCGUUGUCCGGAAUUACUGGGCGUAAAGAGUUCGUAGGCGGUUUGUCGCGUCGUUUGUGAAAACCAGCAGCUCAACUGCUGGCUUGCAGGCGAUACGGGCAGACUUGAGUACUGCAGGGGAGACUGGAAUUCCUGGUGUAGCGGUGAAAUGCGCAGAUAUCAGGAGGAACACCGGUGGCGAAGGCGGGUCUCUGGGCAGUAACUGACGCUGAGGAACGAAAGCGUGGGUAGCGAACAG
rnacentral:rRNA from 1 species